UUUGGCUGAAUGUUGAGAAAAGAAAUAAGCUUUUGAGCUUUUAGGUAUUCGGCACUUUGGAGCUCAAAAUUAGGUAUGUUUCUUGUUUGGUUUUUGAUAAUUUUUACGUUUUUAAGAUCGUUGCUUUGUAUAUUACCUAGCCCAUGUUUUAAUUUUUGGAAUUGAUGAUGAUUUUGAGAAGUGCCAUUGUUGAUAAUGUGAUGAAAUUGUUGUUUGAUGAUGAAAAAUAAAUUUUUGAUGUUAGAUUAUUAUGUUUAAUUAAGUGAUUUUUUAGUAAAAAUGUGUACUAAAGAUUAAAUUCUGAAUUUUGUAAAUUGAGGGGUCAAAAUAUGAAAUAAAUGAUAGAAAUGGGUGGCUAGGGACCUUAGGUAGAUUCAGCCUAACUAGAGUGGGUUGAAAUUUUGAAUAUUUUGAGUUGUUUUGAAAUAGGGACUAAAUUGAAAAAAGUGAAAUGUUAGGGGCGAAAAUAAAAAUUGCCCAUUUAUGUGUUUUUGAAUAAAUUUGAACGAAUAUAUGACUAAAUAAGUCAAAUUUGUAUUGAAUUAGAUCAAGAAAAGAAGAAAUCAGAUUUAGAACGGGGGAAAUCAAAAGUGGUCGAGUAGUCGUCUCGUUUCGUUUAUUUUUGUCCAAGGUAAGUUCGUAAGUAAAUUAUUGAAGUUAAAUUUAGUGUAUUUAUUUUAUGUAUAGCUGAAUCUAAAUGUGUAUAUGUACACUAUAAUGCCGAAUUGUAUUUGACAAUUUAUGAUUAAUUGCGAGUUUAAAUUGAUUGAUUAUGAUAUUUGAAAGCCGUACGAACUACAGAAAUGCUGAACUGUGACAUCGUGUAAGACCACGUCUGGAACAUUGGCCUCGAUUUGAGAUUUACGUGUAAGACCAUGUCUGGGACAUUGGCGUCAUAUGUGAUUACGUGUAAGACCCUGUCUGAGACAGUGGCAUAGUUAUUUGAUUACAUAUAAGGCCACGUCUGGGACGUUGGCAUUGUACGAGCUUUUUGAGCCAAUCGAGUAUCUUUUCUUUGAAUUCGCAAGGUAUAACAGGAAAUCAUUUGGUAAUAAACCGAAUGUGAGUUUAAAUUCAACAAUUCAGGUAUGUUUAAGUUAU
rnacentral:lncRNA from 1 species